AGCAGCCGCGGUAAUUCCAGCUCCAAUAGCGUAUAUUAAAGUUGUUGCAGUUAAAAAGCUCGUAGUUGAAUUUCGAGACCGGUUUACUGGUCGUGCUUUUGUACGUACUGGUAUUAUUGGUUUCUCCUUUCUGACGAAUCAUAAUGCCAUUAAUUUGGUGUUUUGGGGAAUCAGGACUGUUACUUUGAAAAAUUAGAGUGUUUAAAGCAGGCUCACGCUUGAAUACAUUAGCAUGGAAUAACGAAAUAGGACGUUUGAUUUUAUUUUGUUGGUUUCUAGGAUCGACGUAAUGAUUAAUAGGGAUAGUUGGGGGCAUUAGUAUUCAAUUGUCAGAGGUGAAAUUCUUGGAUUUAUUGAAGACUAACUACUGCGAAAGCAUUUGCCAAGGAUGUUUUCAUUAAUCAAGAACGAAAGUUAGGGGAUCGAAGACGAUCAGAUACCGUCGUAGUC
rnacentral:rRNA from 1 species